rnacentral:rRNA from 1 species
GAAAGGCUAAUCAAGCUCGGAGAUAGCUGGUUCUCCUCGAAAGCUAUUUAGGUAGCGCCUCAUGUAUCACUCUUGGGGGUAGAGCACUGUUUGGGCUAGGGGGUCAUCCCGACUUACCAACCCUUUGCAAACUCCGAAUACCCAUGAGUGCUAUCCGGGAGACACACGGCGGGUGCUAACGUCCGUCGUGGAGAGGGAAACAACCCAGACCGCCAGCUAAGGUCCCAAAAUAUUGCUAAGUGGGAAACGAUGUGGGAAGGCUAAGACAGCUAGGAGGUUGGCUUAGAAGCAGCCAUCCUUUAAAGAAAGCGUAAUAGCUCACUAGUCGAGUCGGCCUGCGCGGAAGAUGUAACGGGGCUAAGCAAUAUACCGAAGCUGCGGAUACGUGUUUACACGUAUGGUAGGGGAGCGUUGUGUA